rnacentral:lncRNA from 1 species
AUCUCUUCUCCUAACCUAGCAAACAACAACAAACACACUUUUUGCUUCCAAAUCGCGAACAGUCGAACCCAGCUCCCCCAAAAUCGACCUUGCGCUCAACCAAUAUCAGGAAAGACAUAACCCAAUUCUCACAACCAACAACCCGUAACCAACCCAUUUUUAGCCUCCAUCACAUGCCUCAUGCGAUAUUAUAGCAAGGAAGAACCUCGAAGCUUCUAGAAAAACAACCUAGGUGUCGUCUCCAAUGGUUCAAUUCUGCAAAUUUUACGAUAACUCAUACGGAUUCGUACAUAUUUGGUAAAUUUUCAUUGGUUAUUGGGUACAUUUUUGUUUUCCCCGCAUUUGAUUGGUCCACUGGUUUCAGAUUUGUGGAAGAAAAUAAAAAUUGGUUACGAUCCAGGGAUCCUAGGGGUUUUGAAUUUUGAAUUCCCUCUGAAAAAAUCCCUAAGAUACCCCCCAAUUUUCAUCUUCUAUAUAAGAACAUAUUAGGCCACAGCUUUAGGGGUUGGAUAUUUGAGGCUCUGGCUUGGGGGAGGGGGGUCUUUUUUGAGAACUAGGAUUCAAAAAUCGUGGGUUAGAAAUUCUGAGGAGGUCUUUCUCUUCUUUCAAAGGUUAGGCUCAAAAAGUGGGGAGAUUGAAAAAUUUAUGAAAAUCAAAGGUUGGAAAAUUGAGAGGCAGAAAGAGGGGGGGUUCGAAAUUUUCCAAGGAAGUUAGGUGGGAGAAAAUUUCUUUCAGGUCAAGAAGAAAAGGUUUUGGGAAAGAGCUAUUUGGUUUUCGGGAAAAUAGUAGUUUUUGUUCGGCAAAGAUCUAAGAAAGGUAGUUGUUUAGUUGAGGCUUUCACAUCGAUACUGAUUUUCUCAGUGAUGGUAAAGUCCAAACGACCAACUUCCAAAACACACUCACCCCAAUUUCCCCCUUUAGCUUAAUUAACCCAACAUCUCACCCCAACAAUUUUGGCCCAAAAUAAUAACAAUAAACAACACCGCUCCAGCCCACCUUCCAAACAUCAUGACCCGGCCUAAUCCUCUUAAUCUCUUCUCCUAACCUAGCAAACAACAACAAACACACUUUUUGCUUCCAAAUCGCGAACAGUCGAACCCAGCUCCCCCAAAAUCGACCUUGCGCUCAACCAAUAUCAGGAAAGACAUAACCCAAUUCUCACAACCAACAACCCGUAACCAACCCAUUUUUAGCCUCCAUCACAUGCCUCAUGCGAUAUUAUAGCAAGGAAGAACCUCGAAGCUUCUAGAAAAACAACCUAGGUGUCGUCUCCAAUGGUUCAAUUCUGCAAAUUUUACGAUAACUCAUACGGAUUCGUACAUAUUUGGUAAAUUUUCAUUGGUUAUUGGGUACAUUUUUGUUUUCCCCGCAUUUGAUUGGUCCACUGGUUUCAGAUUUGUGGAAGAA